GCGUAAUAGAACUUGCCACUUCUUCGCUUUCCAUCAUUUUGGGGUUAAAUCACCCAAGCCAUUGAUGGACGGAGAACUGAUAAGGGCUCUUGCGUUGGUCAA
ensembl:miRNA cin-mir-184 cin-mir-184